AUAUUUCAUAAAAUUUGUUUAUGUGUUUACCUAUUAUUUAGGAUCACUCACACCCCCCAAAAAAGUGCACCCAAAAAAAAAAUUCGACGUACACCCCUGAGGCUAAAGUAUUUUUGCACGGCGAUUUCGAAAAAACAAAUUGUUCGAACCAAGGCGCACCCUUUUAAUAUUUUUCGGUCACUUACAUUCGACAAUAAAAAAAUUUAAAUAAGUAGUUCUACACACUGACUGAAAAUAACCGUUAAAUAUCAAAGUCUGUAUCUUUUGAUUAUAACUUUUUCGAUCAUAAAUAAUCGUUAAAUUUUGAUUUAAAUUUUGCGGUCAAAUGUAAAUCGUUAUUUUGUGACUUUUAUUUUCUUCGAUCAUAAAUAUUUAAUUGUUAUUUUGGAAUUUAAUUUUUAAUCGGUACAAUGGAGGCAGCGUUUUUAUAGGUGAUUUAAAGCCGUUUUUAUCAUCUCCGGUUAACACAAAUCCGCAGUUAAGCAUCGUUACCGACGUUACUAACACAAUGUUAUGUUCAUGGAGUCAGUAACGUCGGUAACGAUGUUUAACUGCCGAUUUGUGUCAACCAGACAUGGUGAAGGCGUUUCUCAGGGCCGGUUACUCAAUGUCUGGUUAACCAAAGAAGGCCGAAAAAAAUUGCAAGUGCCUUGGAAUCGAAAUACUCCUUUAAAAAAGUUUAAUGGUCUUUGGCGAGCUUUAGUUUACUGGCAUUAGGGUGGUAUUUUAAGGUAAUAAGAACCGAGAUCUGAUGGGUCAGUACUAGAACGAGGAGCUUUAGGUGAAUGAACUUUGGAACAAAAAAAUUUUCUCUACCAUCGCUAUAUCCUACUUUAAGAUCCGACUGCAAAUGCAAAAUGAUGAUCCCUAUGUUCGGCAAAAAAAAAAAUCCGAAAUCACCUUGCAAAAGUGCUUUAGAGUCAGGGGUGUACCUGGAACUUUUUUUUCUGAUACGGUCUAAUGUAUGUGGUGUGGUGAGUGGUCCAAGUUUUGUAUGGGGAAAAAAUGUCAUCAUAGAAAAUGGGUUAAUUUCGUCCUGUUUUUCUUCUUAUUCUACUGAGCUAAGGCAGUAUCAAAACGAGCUGUCACAACUGAUAUCACCUCGUAUUACUGCAUCAUGAUGACCACAGAUAUAUAGUAUACCAACUCUCAAUUUUCAAGUAUCAACCAAUAGCCAAUGACCUUGAAAUGCGCUAAUGAACCCAUGUGAAACUGACAAAAUAUGGUUGACUUUUUCUAACAAGCUACUGUUGCCAUGACAACUGAAGUUUGUAAUAAUUUUUCAACUAAUUUAAAUUUGAAAUGUUCUAAGGUUGCUUAAGCAAUUGUUUGGUUAAUAUGUACAAAAUACUUCUAGAGUAAAAUAUAAACCUUUCCGAAGCAUCCUCUAAAUUUAUAACUAGAAACGUAAAUAAUCGUGCCCGCGCCUCUUUUGAAAAGAGGAAAAAUUUGGAAAGGUGCCCCGAAUCCUAUCUCGAAAAAUAAAAAAAAAAAUUUCCCAUCUUAAUAUAAA